GAGGACACUAGGACCCCCGGCAGCGGACCCAGAGCGCGAAGGCGCCUCCUGGCCCAGCCCGUGGUCCCUCUCCUUCGGCCAGGGCUGAUUACUCGUCCCCUUUGGGUCCUUACGGGGGAGCACUGGCCACCUCUCCAUCCCACCUGACUUAGCCAUGAACCUCCCAGACGCUUCCCAGGCCGGGUCUCAGCCUCCUGGAGGACGCAGCUGAUGAACAGCUGCGCUGGCCGCCGUUGGGCCCAAUUUUCAGCCUUCUUUCCGCAGUCAGGAAAACCUUUCCGAACCCCCGGCCAAUCCUGCUCUGACCACACGUCCCUGGCUCCUUCUGCCCCAGGCUGGUGACUCGUGCUUGGCCCUCUCCCCUUGACCUCUGCACACAUUGUAUAGCUCAAGGGAAAGACAACAGACUGCCUGGUUUAUACCCAGCUAGCACUUCCUGGCUGUGUGAUCUUCCAUAGGUUCCUCACUUCUCUGUGCCUUAGUUUCCCUAUCUAUAAACUGGCAUAAUAAUAGUGACCUAACUCAAGAGCUGCUCUAGGGCUCAACCAGUUAGCAAGUGAGAUGUUUAGAGUCUGGUUGAGGCAGGGAGUUGGGGGGACUGAAUGAACGUGAGCUGCUAUCCAGGAAACACAAAUUUCUUCCCUUGCCGGCUCCUCUGCGGCCUCCUUUGACAUCUCCACUCUGGUAUCAGUGAUGACAAUUUGGACUUCAAGUGACAAACAUUCUGACUCAACUUCUGUCACAAGAGUGCCCAGGAUUGGAGCCACCACAUCUGUGAGUGGCUCUGCCUCUCCCAGCCUACCUCUUGGUUGCAGAAGGGCUGCCACAGCCCCACACCUCUCAUCUCUUCCCAUGUGUCCCCAUGGGUGACUGUGGAGACCUCUCCUGGCAGACUGCCCUAACAGAACUCACUCCCUCAUGCACAAGCACCUAAACCAGCUACAGUGUCCAGGAAUUAAAUCAGGGAGAUGUAACCAGGAAGAUGCACAGGGACUGACCACCUGCCAAAGUCAAGAGUUCCCCUAGGGUGAGGACAGCAGGGUCGGUGGUCAGGAGGGCCACCACCACAUCUGCCGUGCCCUCCUCCCAGCCCUGACCAUUCCUUCAUCCCUCCACCUUCUUACUUUGGGGGUCUCCUCCAGCCCUGGAGCCUCAGGCACCAUCUCUGUGACAAUGACUCCCAAGUUGACACCUCCAGCGGGCCUCUCCUUCUGCUCCAGACUAGUGCUUUCAGAAGUCUGCUCCAUGUUCCAUUUCUGUCACCAAUAAAUGUCUCCCACUCACCA